GACGAACGCUGGCGGCGUGCUUAACACAUGCAAGUCGAACGGAAAGGCCCUGCUUGCAGGGUACUCGAGUGGCGAACGGGUGAGUAACACGUGGGUGAUCUGCCCUGCACUUCGGGAUAAGCUUGGGAAACUGGGUCUAAUACCGGAUAGGAGCCAUCUUUAGUGUGGUGGUUGGAAAGUUUUUUCGGUGUAGGAUGAGCUCGCGGCCUAUCAGCUUGUUGGUGGGGUAAUGGCCUACCAAGGCGGCGACGGGUAGCCGGCCUGAGAGGGUGUACGGCCACAUUGGGACUGAGAUACGGCCCAGACUCCUACGGGAGGCAGCAGUGGGGAAUAUUGCACAAUGGGCGCAAGCCUGAUGCAGCGACGCCGCGUGGGGGAUGAAGGCCUUCGGGUUGUAAACUCCUUUCGCUGGGGACGAAGCUUUGUUGUGACGGUACCUAGAUAAGAAGCACCGGCUAACUACGUG
rnacentral:rRNA from 1 species